rnacentral:tRNA from 1 species
GGGGAUUUAGCUUAGUGGCAAAAGCACCUGCCUUGCAAGUAAGUGGUCCUGAGUUCGAUCCCCG